rnacentral:misc_RNA from 1 species
AAGUCAGUAACAAGGUUUUACCGAUGUCAGGUUGGAACCACUUGGCGGGAAAAGGGAUCAUUUACAUUUAGUAGCCUAGCUGCUAUCAGUGGGGUUCGUUAGCCUGCAUAGCUUAAUCGCUGAUGAGCAGCAGACCCCCUGUUUGUACCCUUGUUUUUUGCGUACCAAAGUUUCCUCGGCGGGCUUGCUCGCCGGAUGGACAAUACUAUAACCUUUUUAAUAUUCAAUCAGCGUCUGAAAAACUUGAAUAAUUACAA